rnacentral:rRNA from 1 species
UACGGAGGUGGCAAGCGUUACUCGGUUUGACUGGGUGUAAAGGGUCCGCAGGCGGUUUGAUAAGUGAAAAGUGAAAUCCAUCGGCUCAACCGGUGAAGUGCUUUUCAAACUAUCAUUCUUGAGGAUGGAAGAGGAGAGCGGAACUGUCGGUGUAAAGGUGAAAUUUGUGGAGAUCGACAGGAACGCCCGUGGAGUAGUCGGCUCUCUGGUCCAUACCUGACGCUCAGGGACGAAAGCUAGGGGAG